UUAACUCAAAUUUGAAUGGAGUUGAAACGUUUGCUUACGUUUGCCGCUAGAGGCGCUGUUCCAACUGCAUACAAAUUUGAGUUA
rfam:Bombyx mori DNA, contig: Bm_scaf14_contig10655, strain: p50T/Dazao, build 2, whole genome shotgun sequence.